ACCUCGAGCGAUUCGACUCUCUACCGCGAGAACCGAAGGCUGCAAGUCACUUUCGAUGACUGUCUGCUAAACUGGCACAUCCAGUCGAACACGUCCCCCACUCUCCCGCGCAGGGCCUGGCGCUACCCAUUCCUAGGAACACAGCGCCAAACCACUCCCCGACCCGGGAGGUAGUGACGAAAAAUAACAAUACAGGACUCUUCGAGGCCCUGUAAUUGGAAUGAGUCCACUUUAAAUCCUUUAACAGGAUCCAUUGAGGCAAGUCUGGUGCCAGCAGCCGCGGUAAUUCCAGCUCCAAUAGCGUAUAUUAAAGUUGCUGCAGUUAAAAAGCUCGUAGUUGGAUCUUGGAUCGAGCGGCGGUCCGCCGCGAGGCGAGCUACCGCCUGUCCCAGCCCCUGUCUCUCGCGCCCCCCCUCGAUGCUCUUAACUGAGUGUCCCGCGGGCCCGAAGCGUUUACUUGAAAAAAUUAGAGUGUCAAAGCAGGCUGGCCGCCGGAAUACUCCAGCUAGGAAUAAAUGGAAUAGACUCCGGUCUAUUUGUUGGUUUUCGAAACGGGCCAUGAUUAAGAGGGACGGCCGGGGCAUUUCGUAUUGUGCCGCUAGAGGUGGAAAUUCUUGGACCGGCGCAAGACGAACUAAAGCGAAAGCAUUUGCCAAGAACUUUCGAAGACGGAGUUCGAGGAUCAGAUACCGUCGUAGUUCGACAUAACGAUGCCGACUCGCGAUCCGGCGGCGUUAUUCCAUGACCCGCCGGCAGCUCCCGGGAAACCCAAGUCUUUGGUUCCGGGGGAGUAGGUGCAAAGCUGAAACUUAAAGAAUUGACGGAAGGCACCACCAGGAGUGGAGCCUGCGGCUUAAUUUGACUCAACACGGGAAACCUCACCCGCCCCGGACACGGACAGGAUUGACAGAUUGAGAGCUCUUUCUCGAUUCCGUGGGUGGUGGUGCAUGGCCGUUCUUAGUUGGUGGAGCGAUUUGUCUGGUUAAUUCCGAUAACGAACGAGACUCUGGCAUGCUAACUAGUUACGCGACCCCGAGCGGUCGGCGUCCAACUUCUUAGAGGGACAAGUGGCGUUCAGCCACCCGAGAUUGAGCAAUAACAGGUCUGUGAUGCCCUUAGAUGUCCGGGGCUGCACGCGCGCUACACUGACUGCUCAGCUUGGUCUACCCUACCCGGCAGGCGCGGUAACCGUUGAACCCCAUUCGUGAUGGGGAUCGGGGAUUGCAAUUAUUCCCCAUGAACGAGAUCCCAGUAAGUGCGGUCAUAAGCUCGCGUUGAUUAAGCCCUGCCCUUUGUACACACCGCCCGUCCACUACCGAUGGAUGGUUUAGUGAGGUCCUCGGAUCGGCCCCGGCGGGGUCGGCCACGGCCCUGCCGGAGCGUCGAGAAGACGGUCGAACUUGACUAUCUAGAGGAAGUAAAAGUCGUAACAAGGUUUCCGUAGGUGAACCUGCGGAAGGAUCAUUA
rnacentral:ncRNA from 1 species